UUGGGAAUCUUGGACAAUGGACGCAAGUCUGAUCCAGCGACGCCGCGUGGGUGAUGAAGGCCUUCGGGUUGUAAAGCCCUGUGGGCAGGGAAGAAAAUGGUUAGGAAUAAUAAGCCUAGCUUUUGACGGUACCUGCUCAGAAAGCACCGGCUAACUCUGUGCCAGCAGCCGCGGUAAGACAGAGGGUGCAAACGCUGCUCGGAAUUACUGGGCGUAAAGCGCGUGUAGGUGGACUGGUGUGUCAGAUGUGAAAUCCCUGGGCUCAACCCAGGAACUGCACCUGAAACUACCAGCCUUGAGUGGUGGAGAGGGAAGUGGAAUUCCUGGUGUAGAGGUGAAAUUCGUAGAUAUCAGGAGGAACACCAGUGGCGAAGGCGGCUUCCUGGACACCAACUGACGCUGAGACGCGAAAGCGUGGGGAGCAAAC
rnacentral:rRNA from 1 species